AAGUCGUAACAAGGUUUCCGUAGGUGAACCUGCGGAAGGAUCAUUACCAAAUCCAAAAAUCAUAUACCACUUUUUUGUGGGAACUAUUGAAAAUUGUCUUUUUGUCUUUUGAGGGGGAUAUAAUAAGUUGAUUCUUGUUUUCCCCCCUCAAAAGCAUGUAUAGAAAUUCCGAAUUUUACGGCUUUUUUCUAUAUUUGUUAACUACUUUUUAUAUUAUAUUUGGAAUUUUGUAAAUAAAAAUUGUGAAACAACUUUUAACGGUGGAUCUCUUGGCUCGUG
rnacentral:misc_RNA from 1 species